UACGUAGGGGGCAAGCGUUGUCCGGACUUACUGGGCGUAAAGCGCGUGCAGGCGGAUUGGUAUGUGCCGUGUGAAAGCUCCCGGCUUGCCCGGGAGAGGUCGCGGUAGACAGCCGAUCUGGAGGCUCGGAGAGGUUCGUGGAAUUCCAGGUGUAGCGGUGAAAUGCGUAGAUAUCUGGAGGAACACCGGUGGCGAAGGCGGCAUCCUGGACCGGUAUUGACGCUGAGGCGCGAAAGCUAGGGGAGCAAACGGG
rnacentral:rRNA from 1 species